rnacentral:lncRNA from 1 species
AUCUUCCCCAACUUCUCAUCUUCCUUUACUGAUGCUCAAAAUUCCUCAACUCCUUUCAAGCGCGAACAGAUCGCCAUUCACGUUUGUUCACGUCCUUCGUUCUUAGUUCAUAAUAGAAAAAGAAAGCAAUUCAAGGCAAAGUUCCAUCUACAUCUGCUAGGGUUACCUGAAGUAAAAAAUCAGAAAAGGACACUUUGAAUUUUUGGUUUCUCCAACACACAAAGCAGCAAAUA